rnacentral:pre_miRNA from 1 species
GUGUGUGUGUGUGUGGAUUGUGUUCAGCACCAAUGACAGGUAUGUCUAUGUGUGUGUGUGUGGUGUUCAGCACCAAGGACAGGUAUGUUUGUGU